UUAAAGGCUUUUUUAAAAGCCAAGCUAUGGCCCUUAUCAGAUAUUU
rfam:Tyto alba contig73692, whole genome shotgun sequence.